GUGGGGAAUCUUGCGCAAUGGACGAAAGUCUGACGCAGCGACGCCGCGUGAGUGAUGAAGGCCUUCGGGUUGUAAAGCUCUGUGGGGAGGGACGAAUAAGUGCUGGCUAAUAUCCAGCGCGAUGACGGUACCUCCUUAGCAAGCACCGGCUAACUCUGUGCCAGCAGCCGCGGUAAGACAGAGGGUGCAAACGUUGUUCGGAAUUACUGGGCGUAAAGCGUGUGUAGGCUGCCGCGUAAGUCGGGUGUGAAAGCCCCGGGCUCAACCCGGGAAGUGCACUCGAUACUGCGUGGCUAGAGUACUGGAGAGGUUGGUGGAAUUCUCGGUGUAGAGGUGAAAUUCGUAGAUAUCGAGAGGAACACCGGUGGCGAAGGCGGCCAACUGGACAGAUACUGACGCUGAGACACGAAAGCGUGGGGAGCAAACAGGAUUAGAUACCCGAGUAGUCC
rnacentral:rRNA from 1 species